GAUGGCCUUUCUGCCAUUCAUCUCCCUUGAAUUACACCUCAUCUCAUCCCUUCACAGGGCACCACAUCUCUUAGGGGCAGAAGCUGAUGGCAGCAUUUCCCAGAGAUCUGUGAAGAUACCAUACCUCUCCUGCUCUAGACUCAGAUGCUGAAACAGACGGUGGUAGACGGUGGGAUGAAGUGCAGAUACGCUUGUGGUCGUGAAAUAUGUUUUUGUUACUAUUGCUUUGGAAAGUUGCUGAUAUCAAUAUGCAUCAUUGGCCCAGGGCUAUCACAGCUAAAUUAAUUCCUGAGGAGUUUCAGCACAGUUGUCCCUCAGAACAUUAAUGUUCCGAUUCAGACGAUCUUUCUAAUUACAGCUAUCAGGUCCUUUCACUUGUAAGUACUAUUUAAUCCACCAUUACAUCCCGGACCACUGGCUCCUUGUCAGCGGGCACCUCCCCUUCUGUCUCAUUGUUAGUGGACGUCCCUCUUUAUAACUCACUUCUGCCGGGGCUUUCUGCUUUUGGGUACAAGACUCCACUAAUACAAAGCCAGUCAUGGUCCCCUUUUCCGUUUGGCUUAGCAAAUCAACCGACUGUAUUGGAUUAGUAAAACCUUCAGGUAUUUCACUCAAAAAUGCAGUAUGUUGGCUGCUGUUGCCUUUUUUGCUGAAGAAAAAAUUAAAAUAAAAAAACACAUCAAUUAGCCAUUACUAUAGUUAUCCCAAAACCCUGGAUUUGUUGGCUUUGACACACAUUCCC
rnacentral:lncRNA from 1 species